UAGAGGGCAUUGGUAUCACUAGAUAACAAU
rnacentral:piRNA from 1 species